AUUGAACGCUGGCGGCAGGCCUAACACAUGCAAGUCGAACGGUAGCACAGAGAGCUUGCUCUCGGGUGACGAGUGGCGGACGGGUGAGUAACGUCUGGGAAACUGCCCGAUGGAGGGGGAUAACUACUGGAAACGGUAGCUAAUACCGCAUAACGUCGCAAGACCAAAGUGGGGGACCUUCGGGCCUCACACCAUCGGAUGUGCCCAGAUGGGAUUAGCUAGUAGGUGGGGUAAUGGCUCACCUAGGCGACGAUCCCUAGCUGGUCUGAGAGGCGGACCAGCCACAGUGGAACUGAGACACGGUCCAGACUCCUACGGGAGGCAGCAGUGGGGAAUAUUGCACAAUGGGCGCAAGCCUGAUGCAGCCAUGCCGCGUGUAUGAAGAAGGCCUUCGGGUUGUAAAGUACUUUCAGCGGGGAGGAAGGCGGUGAAGUUAAUAACUUCACCGAUUGACGUUACCCGCAGAAGAAGCACCGGCUAACUCCGUGCCAGCCGCCGCGGUAA
rnacentral:rRNA from 1 species